rnacentral:rRNA from 1 species
AUGAGGGCCUUAUUCUGGAAUAUUAGAGGGUUCGGUCCUAGGGGGCGCCGUGAUCAACUGAAAGAUUUGGUUCGUUCUAACUCUAUUGACUUUGUGGGGCUGGUUGAAACGUUUAAGGACUCCUUUACCCCCAGUGAGCUUUCUGCUAUCGUGGGUAUGGAUAGAUUUCAGUGGCAAUCUUUACCGGCUUCGGGCCACUCUGGUGGGAUUCUGAUCGGUUCUAAUAAGGAUAUUUUUGAAUUUGUUGCUUUUGAUCACGGGUUUUAUUGGGCUAGUGUUGUUCUCUCGCAUAGAUCUAUGAAUGCCCUCUGUAAAUUUAUAGUUGUUUAUGGGCCCGCGGAUCACUCCUUUUCGCACCUUUUCCUUGAUGAACUUUCGAUCAAGCUUGAGUCCUGUUCUCUUCCGACGGUGAUUGGGGGAGACUUUAAUCUUCUG